AGAACGAACGCUGGCGGCAUGCCUAAUACAUGCAAGUCGAACGAACUCUUCGGAGUUAGUGGCGCACGGGCGCGUAACGCGUGGGAAUCUGCCCCUUGGUUCGGAAUAACAGUUGGAAACGACUGCUAAUACCGGAUGAUGACGAAAGUCCAAAGAUUUAUCGCCAAGGGAUGAGCCCGCGUAGGAUUAGCUAGUUGGUGAGGUAAAGGCUCACCAAGGCAACGAUCCUUAGCUGGUCUGAGAGGAUGAUCAGCCACACUGGGACUGAGACACGGCCCAGACUCCGUACGGGAGGCAGCAGUAGGGAAUAUUGGACAAGUGGGACGAAAGCCUAGAUCCAGCAAUCGCCGC
rnacentral:rRNA from 1 species